CCUACGGGUGGCAGCAGUCGAGAAUCAUUCACAAUGGGGGAAACCCUGAUGGUGCGACGCCGCGUGGGGGAAUGAAGGUCUUCGGAUUGUAAACCCCUGUCAUGUGGGAGCAAAUUAAAAAGCUAGUACCACAUGAGGAAGAGACGGCUAACUCUGUGCCAGCAGCCGCGGUAAUACAGAGGUCUCAAGCGUUGUUCGGAAUCAAUGGGCGUAAAGCGUGCGUAGGCUGUUUCGUAAGUCGUGUGUGAAAGGCGAGGGCUCAACCCGCGGACGGCACAUGAUACUGCGAGACUAGAGUAAUGGAGGGGGAACCGGAAUGCUUGGUGUAGCAGUGAAAUGCGUAGAUAUCGAGAGGAACACUCGUGGCGAAGGCGGGUUCCUGGACAUUAACUGACGCUGAGGCACGAAGGCCAGGGGAGCGAAAGGGAUUAGAUACCCCGGUAGUC
rnacentral:rRNA from 1 species